rnacentral:rRNA from 1 species
GAUGAACGCUGGCGGCGUGCCUAAUACAUGCAAGUCGAGCGAACGGACGAGAAGCUUGCUUCUCUGAUGUUAGCGGCGGACGGGUGAGUAACACGUGGAUAACCUACCUAUAAGACUGGGAUAACUUCGGGAAACCGGAGCUAAUACCGGAUAAUAUUUUGAACCGCAUGGUUCAAAAGUGAAAGACGGUCUUGCUGUCACUUAUAGAUGGAUCCGCGCUGCAUUAGCUAGUUGGUAAGGUAACGGCUUACCAAGGCAACGAUGCAUAGCCGACCUGAGAGGGUGAUCGGCCACACUGGAACUGAGACACGGUCCAGACUCCUACGGGAGGCAGCAGUAGGGAAUCUUCCGCAAUGGGCGAAAGCCUGACGGAGCAACGCCGCGUGAGUGAUGAAGGUCUUCGGAUCGUAAAACUCUGUUAUUAGGGAAGAACAUAUGUGUAAGUAACUGUGCACAUCUUGACGGUACCUAAUCAGAAAGCCACGGCUAACUACGUGCCAGCAGCCGCGGUAAUACGUAGGUGGCAAGCGUUAUCCGGAAUUAUUGGGCGUAAAGCGCGCGUAGGCGGUUUUUUAAGUCUGAUGUGAAAGCCCACGGCUCAACCGUGGAGGGUCAUUGGAAACUGGAAAACUUGAGUGCAGAAGAGGAAAGUGGAAUUCCACGUGUAGCGGUGAAAUGCGCAGAGAUAUGGAGGAACACCAGUGGCGAAGGCGACUUUCUGGUCUGUAACUGACGCUGAUGUGCGAAAGCGUGGGGAUCAAACAGGAUUAGAUACCCUGGUAGUCCACGCCGUAAACGAUGAGUGCUAAGUGUUAGGGGGUUUCCGCCCCUUAGUGCUGCAGCUAACGCAUUAAGCACUCCGCCUGGGGAGUACGACCGCAAGGUUGAAACUCAAAGGAAUUGACGGGGACCCGCACAAGCGGUGGAGCAUGUGGUUUAAUUCGAAGCAACGCGAAGAACCUUACCAAAUCUUGACAUCCUUUGACAACUCUAGAGAUAGAGCCUUCCCCUUCGGGGGACAAAGUGACAGGUGGUGCAUGGUUGUCGUCAGCUCGUGUCGUGAGAUGUUGGGUUAAGUCCCGCAACGAGCGCAACCCUUAAGCUUAGUUGCCAUCAUUAAGUUGGGCACUCUAAGUUGACUGCCGGUGACAAACCGGAGGAAGGUGGGGGUGACGUCAAAUCAUCAUGCCCCUUAUGAUUUGGGCUACACACGUGCUACAAUGGACAAUACAAAGGGCAGCGAAACCGCGAGGUCAAGCAAAUCCCAUAAAGUUGUUCUCAGUUCGGAUUGUAGUCUGCAACUCGACUACAUGAAGCUGGAAUCGCUAGUAAUCGUAGAUCAGCAUGCUACGGUGAAUACGUUCCCGGGUCU